rnacentral:rRNA from 1 species
UACGGAGGGGGCUAGCGUUGUUCGGAAUUACUGGGCGUAAAGCGCGUGUAGGCGGCUUUGCAAGUCGGGUGUGAAAGCCCUCAGCUCAACUGAGGAAGUGCGCCCGAAACUGCAGAGCUUGAGUACCGGAGAGGAUGGCGGAAUUCCCCAAGUAGAGGUGAAAUUCGUAGAUAUGGGGAGGAACACCGGUGGCGAAGGCGGCCAUCUGGACGGUCACUGACGCUGAGACGCGAAAGCGUGGGUAGCAAACAGG